rnacentral:rRNA from 1 species
UUGGCGGACGGGUGAGUAACGCGUGGGGGAACCUGCCCUGUACAGGGGGAUAACACUUAGAAAUAGGUGCUAAUACCGCAUAAGCGCACAGUAUCGCAUGAUACAGUGUGAAAAACUCCGGUGGUACAGGAUGGACCCGCGUCUGAUUAGCUGGUUGGCGGGGUAACGGCCCACCAAGGCGACGAUCAGUAGCCGGCCUGAGAGGGUGAACGGCCACAUUGGGACUGAGACGCGGCCCAAACUCCUACGGAAGGCAGCAG